AUUGAACGCUGGCGGCAGGCCUAACACAUGCAAGUCGGACGGUAGCACAGAGAGCUUGCUCUUGGGUGACGAGUGGCGGACGGGUGAGUAAUGUCUGGGGAUCUGCCCGAUAGAGGGGGAUAACCACUGGAAACGGUGGCUAAUACCGCAUAACGUCGCAAGACCAAAGAGGGGGACCUUCGGGCCUCUCACUAUCGGAUGAACCCAGAUGGGAUUAGCUAGUAGGCGGGGUAAUGGCCCACCUAGGCGACGAUCCCUAGCUGGUCUGAGAGGAUGACCAGCCACACUGGAACUGAGACACGGUCCAGACUCCUACGGGAGGCAGCAGAGGGGAAUAUUGCACAAUGGGCGCAAGCCUGAUGCAGCCAUGCCGCGUGUAUGAAGAAGGCCUUCGGGUUGUAAAGUACUUUCAGCGGGGAGGAAGGCGGUGCGGUUAAUAACCGCGUCGAUUGACGUUACCCGCAGAAGAAGCACCGGCUAACUCCGUGCCAGCAGCCGCAGUAA
rnacentral:rRNA from 1 species